UUUCUUCUGUUAUUCAUUUGGGGUUCAUCUUCGGGGUUCAUUUAUGACGGUUAUCAUUCAUAUUGGGAUUCAUCCUUGGGGUUCAUUUGUGACGUUUGUGAUGAUUAUUCACUUGGGGUUCAUCUUUGGGGUUCAUCUUUGGAUAUUUGACUACAUUGUUGGGGUAAUCUGAUAACCUUUUUCUUCGGUGUUCGCUGGUUAGCGUUUGCUUUUGUUUGGAGUUGGAUGUAAG
rnacentral:lncRNA from 1 species